rnacentral:rRNA from 1 species
AACCUCCGCAAUGUGAGAAAUCGCGACGGGGGGAUCCCAAGUGCCAUUCUUAACGGGAUGGUUUUUCAUUAGUGUAAAGAGCUUUUGGAAUAAGAGCUGGGCAAGACCGGUGCCAGCCGCCGCGGUAACACCGGCAGCUCUAGUGGUAGCAAUUUUUAUUGGGCCUAAAGCGUCCGUAGCCGGUUUAAUAAGUCUCUGGUGAAAUCCUGUAGCUUAACUGUGGGAAUUGCUGGAGAUACUAUUAGACUUGAGACCGGGAGAGGUUAGAGGUACUCCCAGGGUAGAGGUGAAAUUCUGUAAUCCUGGGAGGACCGCCUGUUGCGAAGGCGUCUAACUGGAACGGUCCUGACGGUGAGGGACGAAAGUUAGGGGCGCGAACCGGAUUAGAUACCCGGGUAGUCCUAACUGUAAACGAUGCGGACUUGGUGUUGGGGUGGCUUUGAGCUGCUCCAGUGCCGAAGGGAAGCUGUUAAGUCCGCCGCCUGGGAAGUACGGUCGCAAGACUGAAACUUAAAGGAAGU